AGCGAACGUUAGCGGCGGGCUUAACACAUGCAAGUCGAGCGAGAAAGUGGCUUCGGCCAUCAGUAAAGCGGCGGACGGGUGAGUAACACGUAGGUAAUCUUCCCUUGAGCGGGGGACAACGUUUCGAAAGGAACGCUAAUACCGCAUAAGUUUCCAGGAACUCUGGUUCCUGGAAGGAAAGCUAGGUCGCAAGAUCCGGCACUCGAGGAGGAGCCUGCGUCGCAUCAGCUAGUUGGUGGGGAAUGGCCUACCAAGGCGAAGACGCGUAGCUGGUCUGAGAGGAUGAUCAGCCACACUGGGACUGAGACACGGCCCAGACUCCUACGGGAGGCAGCAGUGGGGAAUAUUGGACAAUGGCGCAAGCCUGAUCCAGCCACGCCGCGUGAGUGAUGAAGGCC
rnacentral:rRNA from 1 species